UUCAGGCUGGACAUGCUUCAAGGUGUUUGAUAUACAGGACAUGUAACCGACCAACCUACUUGGACAUCAGGAUUUGAUAUAAUGGCAGACCACAACUUGACACCGUACUAAUUUGUGCAAAACUACUAGACCUUAACCUGGAAUAUUAGCUAGCCGGCAAGCACAUAUUCCCUGCAUAGGGACCCAACAAUAGAUACAGUCCAACACUCCAACAUAAUAAUUUGGUAAGAGAUACUUUUUAUGAAAUUGAGAUUGUUCCCCAUCCCUACAAACCAAGCAUAAGGUAAAGAGUAAAGACUAAAGACCAUAAAUAGUAUCCUAUAACAUAUUUCCACUACAAAUGUUUAUUAGCUGUGUACCUCGAAUGUGCGACAUUCCGCAAAUAAUAAACAAAGCACAAAAAUUGAGACUAGCCACAAUGCACCAUUAGCAGUAAUGAUGUGGUGUGAAAAAGCAAACCAUGAAACCCCCCGGGUUUCUCUGAGAAGAUAAAAAAUGAUAUCUAUGACCUCAGAUCUGUCAACAUGUCAACAUGUCCUCUCCCACAAAGCGGUGAAAAGGCUCUAUGACAUUCAAUAUGAUAUCUAUGACCAUAAGUAGCAGCAGUACAAUCCAGUC
rnacentral:lncRNA from 1 species